rnacentral:snRNA from 1 species
GUGCUCACUUCAGCAGCACAUAUACUGGGGUUGGAGCGAUACAGAGAAGAUUAGCAUGGCCCUUGAGCAAGGACGAUAUGCAAAUUCCUGAAGCCUUCCAUAUUUUU